UACGUAGGGCGCAAGCGUUGUCCGGAAUUAUUGGGCGUAAAGAGCUCGUAGGCGGUCUGUCGCGUCCGUUGUGAAAACUCGAGGCUCAACCUCGGGCUUGCAGUGGCUACGGGCAGACUAGAGUGCGGUAGGGGAGACUGGAAUUCCUGGUGUAGCGGUGGAAUGCGCAGAUAUCAGGAGGAACACCGAUGGCGAAGGCAGGUCUCUGGGCCGCAACUGACGCUGAGGAGCGAAAGCGUGGGGAGCGAACAGG
rnacentral:rRNA from 1 species